GGGAGAGAUUUUUCGCAGGGUUGGGCCUCUCUCCUUCUCUUCCUCUCUGGCACGUCCGGAUUUUCAUUUGGCUCACUUGCAGCCAAAACAACAUUAUCCUCAGCUUUUUGGCUUUGCCACGACCACCCAAAGGACAUCCAGCCAUCUUGACACAACUUUAGGAAGCACUGGAGUCAACAUGGGCCAGCAUCCUUGUGGAACGCUUUAGACACCUCGUAGAGUCCACGCCUCGACGAAUUGAUGCUGUAUGAGAGCAAAAGGAAUGCAGCUCAAUAUUAGGAAGGUGUUCCUUAUGUUUUGUACACUCAGUGUAUAUUUGGCUUUGUGUUUUAGGUAAUUAUCCUCCUGAAAGUUGAGUUUGUCUCCCAGUGUCUGUUGGAAAGCAGACUGAACCAGGUUUUCCUCUAGAAUUACACCUGGAUUUGGCUCUUUUCUGUUUCUUUAAAUCCUAAAAUAACUCUCAAACCCAUAACAUGAUACAGCCACCAUCAUGCUUGAAAAUAUGAAGAGGUAUACUCAGUGAUGUGUUGGAUUUGCCCCAAACAUAGCACUUUGUAUUCAGGACAAAAGCUAAAUUUCUUUGCCACAUUUUUUUGCAGUAUUUAGUGCCUUGUUACAAACAGGAUGUGUGUUUUGGAAUAUUUUAAGUCUGUAUAGGCUUCCUUUUCACUCUGUCAAUUGUGUUAUUAGUCCCUCCUUUGCAUUGGAAAAUCUCCCUGGUCUUUGUGGUUGGAUGUGUGUUUAAAAUUCACUGAGGGACCUUACAGAUCAUUUUAUGGGGUACAGAGAUGGGAUAGUCAUUCAAGAGUUAAACACAAUAAUUGUACACAGAGUGAACCCAUGCAAUUUAUUAUGUUUCUUGUUAAGCUAAUAUUUAAUCCUGAAUUUAUGCUGAAUUUAUUUAUGCUUGCCAUAACAACAAUGUUGAAUAUUUGUUGACUCAAGACAUUUCAGCUUUUCAUUAAUUAAUAUAUAAACAUUUUUAAAAACAUAAUUCCACUUUGAUAUUAUGGGGUAUUGUGUGGAAAUCAGUGGCACAAUUUCAAUUUAAUCUAUUUUGUAUGUAAAUUCAGGCUGUAACAACAAAAUGUGGAAAAGGGACUCCUUGACUUACAGCCUUAUUCUAAAACUGAUUAAAUGAAUAAGUAUUCAGACCCUUUGCUAUGAGAUUUGAAAUUGAGUUCAGGUCCAUCUUGUUUCCAUUGACCAUCCUAGAGAUGUUUCUACAACUUGGAGUCCACCUGUGGUAAAUUCAAUUUAUUGGACAUUAUUUUUAAAGGCACACACCUGUCUAUAUAAGGUCCCACAGUUGACAGUGCAUGUCAGAGCAAAAAACAAGCCAUGAGGUCGAAGGAAUUGUUCAUAGAGCUCUGAGACAGGAUUAUGUUGAGGCACAGAUCUGGG
ensembl:lncRNA